rfam:Thermoanaerobacter pseudethanolicus ATCC 33223, complete genome.
UAUGCAAUCUUGCCGAAUCCGAAAGGUACGGAGGAACCGCUUUUUGGGGUUAAUCUGCAGUGAAGCUGCAGUAGGGAUACCUUCUGUCCCGCACCCGACAGCUAACUCCGGAGGCAAUAAAGGAAGGAGAU